AUUGAACGCUAGCGGCAGGCCUAACACAUGCAAGUCGAGCGGAUGAAGUUAGCUUGCUCCUGGAUUCAGCGGCGGUCGGGUGUGUAAUACCUAGGAAUCUGCCUGGUAGUAGGGGAUAACGUCCUUAAACGGGCGCUAUUACCGCAUACGUCCUGAGGUAGAAAGUUGGUGAUCUUCGUACCUCACGCUAUCAGAUGAUCCUAUGUCGGAUUAGCUAGUUGGUGGGGUAAAGGCCUACCAAGGCGACGAUCCGUAACUGGUCUGAGCGGAUGAUCAGUCACACUGGAACUGAGACACGGUCCCGAAUCCUACGGGAGGCAGCAGUGGGGAAUAUUGGACCAUGGGCGAAAGCCAGAUCCAGACAUGCCGCGUGUGUGAAGAAGGUCUUCGGAUUGUAAAGCACUUAAAGUUGGGAGGAAGGGAAGCAAGUUAAUACCUUGCUGUUUUGACGUUACAAAAAGAAUAAGCCCCGGCUAACUUCGUG
rnacentral:rRNA from 1 species